rnacentral:lncRNA from 1 species
GGAGCUGAAGCAAUGGUGGGCUUGAUCAAGUUUGCUGCUGAAAUCAAGCACUUCUGCACAUAUACAUCAGAAUUCUAUGAAAAAACUAAAGGAAAGAGGAAAUAGAUUUGCUGGAGCAUAAAGGUGAAUUGAGAAUACACAAAAAAUAAACUCCCCCAUUGAUUAACAUCUACUGCCUUUAAAUAGGCUUUACAGAGCUAUAAAUAAAGAAGAACAUAGCAUACAGGAUGAAAACAGAACUAAGAACAUGGGUAGAUCAUGGACUGAUUGUGCCCAAUUUUUUUGCAAAGACUAAGUAAACACAAACUCAUAAUUUGCCACCUGGAUAACAGAAAUAAACAUGGAGUUAAUUCUUCUCAAAGUGGGGUGAAUCUGCAUAACUAACUCCUGAAAUUUUGCAGCACUCAUCCAACAUCCCCCCUUGAUGCAAAAUCAGUCACGCCAAGCUUCUUCCUUAGGUAGACGAACUUGUCAUAUGGUAGUGGCUUGGUCAGAAUGUCGGCAACCUGUUCAUGUGUUGAGCAGUGCUGGAGCUUUACAGUGCCUUCAGCUAUAGCUUCUCUGAUGAAGUGAGAACGAAUUCCUAUAUGCUUUGAUCGCCCAUAGAAGACUGGGUUUUUUUGUCAUCAAGAUAGUUGACUUGUUGUCGCAGAAGAUUGUGGUAGCUUGCUUUUGAUCUUGAUGAAUAUCUUCAAGGAUCCUUCGUAGCCAAAUUGCUUGACAUGUUGCUGAUGCCGCAGCUAUGUAUUCUGCUUCUGAUGAAGAUAAUGCCACGGUGUCUUGCUUUCUUGUCAACCAGGAUAUUACUCCACAUCCGAGGCUGAAACAGUUGCCUGUAGUGCUCCUUCUAUCAUCGAAUGAACCUGCCCAGUCACUAUCAGUAAAACCAACAAGUUCAAAGUUAGUUACAGGAGAGUAUCAAAUUCCAUAAUCAAUUGUCUCAUGUAUAUAUCUGAGGAUUCAUUUUGCCACUCCCAAAUGAUGCUUGGACGGACUAUGUAUGAAUCUGGAGAUCAAAUUGACUGAAAACAUGAUAUCAGGCCGAGAGUGUGUCAAAUACAUCAAUCCUCCAACUACCUUCUUGAAAUAUACUUCAUUAACUUUCUCAGUUCCAUCAUCUAGUCUGAGUUUCUCAUUUGCAUUGAUUGGUGUGCUGCAACCUUUGCAAUUCUGUAUGUUAAACUUUUUUAACAUAUUGUAAGCAUAUUUUUCUUGUGAAAGAAAAUUUUCAUUUUCUGAUUGACAAAUUUGAAGACCCAAAAAAUAGUGCAAUAGUCCUAAAUCAGUCAUCUCAAAUUCCUUCAUCAUUCUUUCCUUGAAUUCUUCUACAAGAGUAUAUGAUGAACCCGAAUAGAUCAUAUCAUCAACAUACAAGCAAACAACAAGAAAUUCUUUACCUCUCACUUUGAUGUAGAGAGUGGGUUCAUUUACAUUUCUUUGGAAUCCAUCUUGCUGAAAGAAGGUAUCAAUCCAGCUGUACCAUGCUCUUGGCGCUUGUUUUAGCCCGUACAAUACCUUUCUCAACUUAUAUACUUUCUCUUCCGUACCUGCAAUCACAAACCCUUCUGACUGCUCUAGAAAGAUUGUUUCUUCAAGAAUACCAUUUAAAAAGGAAGAUUUUACAUCAAAUUGGUACACUAGCCAUUUCAUUUGUGCAGCAUAAGCCAAAACAGUCCUAACAGUUUCAAAUCUUACAACAUGUGAGAAUGUUUCAUUAAAAUCAAUACCUAGUAGCUGUGAAUAGCCUUUUGCGACCAAUCUGGCUUUAUGCCUUUGCACUCUUUCAUCUGCCCCAUACUUUGUCUUGAAGAUCCACUUCAAGCCAAUUACAUCUUUAUCUUUCGAUAAGUCUACUAAUUCCCAUGUUUGGUUCUUCUCUAUGGCUGUCAUUUCCUCAUUCAUUGUUGUUCUCCAUUCCUCCUUUUGAUUGGCUUCUUCAAAACAUGAUGGUUCUAAUAAAGCAAGUGCAAAAUCACAACUUUCAUAAAUUUCUCUUAAUGAUCUUACCUUUUGUGAAGAAGUUCUGUAUAUGUUCUCUAAUUGCUACAUCUCUCUGGGAGAACUUCUUGAAUUUGAAGUAGAGGGACUGCCACUUGUAGUCAUUGUAGGGAGUUUUUCUAUUUUAAGUUCCAUCUCCACUUCUAUGAACUUAGGAGAAUUCUGCUCAACUUUAUUCAAUUCAUAGCAGCUAUGUUCAUCAAAAACAACAUCCCUACUUAUGAUUAGCUUUUUAGCAAUAGGAUCAAAUAACCGGUAUCCCUUAGUCUCAUUACUGUAUCCCACAAAAAUGUAUUUAACACUUUUCUUAUCAAGUUUAUGUCUAUCAUCAGGACUGAUAUGAGCAUAUGCAACUGAACCGAAAACUUUUAAGUGACUUACUUGAGAUUUUUUUCCACUCCAUGCUUCAUAUGGGGUUUGAUUUAGAACAGCUUUUGUUGGAGAUCGGUUCGAAAGAUAAAUUGCUGUUGCAACACCUUCAACCCAAUAGGAAUUUGGAAGAGCUUUUGCUUGCAGCAUGCUCCUUGUCAUCUUAACUAUAGUUCUGUUCUUUCUCUCUGCCACUCCGUUCUUUUCGGGUGUGUAGCUUGCUGUUAAUUGCCUGUGAAUACCAUGAGCUUGACAAUAUGAAGUAAAUUGAUUAGAAAGAAAUUCUCCUCCUCUAUCAGUUCGUAAUGUUUUAAUGAUAUAGCCGGACUGCUUCUCAAUAAACUUCUUAAAUAGCAGAAACUUAGAGAAAGCUUCAGAUUUGAACUUCAAGAAAUACACCCAAUUCAUUCUGCUGAAAUCAUCAACAAAUAGGAGGAAGUACUUACAGCCACUUAAUGAAGAAGUUCUCAUUGGUCCACAGAUAUCUGCAUGGACCAACUCAAGUGGUGCCUUAGCUCUCCAAGACUUCUUGAUUGAAAAAUUUGCUCUGUGUUGCUUCCCAUAGAUGCAUCCUUCACAUGCAUGAUCAAUAUUCUCAAUGUUGGAUAGUCCAUAAACCAUAUUUUUCUGCUUUAGCAACUUCAAGCCAUUAACAUGUAAAUGACCGUACCUCAUAUGCCAUAACCAAGAAUCAGUUUUAGAGCUAGCCAUAAGUGCAUAAUCAUCAAUACAAGAGAAAUUCACAGGAAACAUCUUAUUUGCUAUCAUUUCAAUUGUCAUCAUAGUGAGGCCAGAUUUCUGAUCAAGUAUUUCACAAGUAUUUCCAUGGAAUGUAACUAGAUAUCCUUUGUGAGCUAAUUAUCCAAUGCUUAGAAGAUUAUGAGCUAAACCAGGAAUGUAAAGAACAUCUGAGAUUUGUUUCUCAUUACUUGAUUUAGUCUUCACAAUAAUUAUUCCUUUUCCAGCAGCUUGAACGUACUUCCCAUCACCAAGUUGAACCUAUACAUUCAUUGAUUCAUCUAUGCUUUUAAAGAGACUCCUUAAACCUAUCAUAUGGUUGCUGCAUCCACUGUCCAGUAGCCAAACAUCAUCUAUACUCUCUUUUGCAUUUAGACAAGUAAGAAAAAUAUUGUUAUCAACUUCUUUCUCUUCACUAAUAUUAGCUUGGUGAUCAGCCUUUUUCCAACAAUUUUUUUCUAUAUGAUCAUACUUCUUACAGAAAUAGCAUUGAACAUUAGCAUGAUAAUUACCUCUUUCAUUGUGAUAGCCUCUUUGAUCAUAACCAGACCUUCCUCUACCUCUUCCUCUACUUCUUCCUCUGUAACCACCUCUUCCAUGGUAGGAACCUUUACCACGACCUCUGUUUGUAUGAGUUUCAGAUGUCUUAGCUUUUCCAGCAUUCUCUGUAAUUUCUAGCUUUGAUGCAAGAGCCUGUUCAACACUUUUCUCUGCAGACCUGUUGAGCCUUUCCUCAUGAGCUAACGAAGAUCUUAUUAGUUAAGGGAGAGAAUAAGUAGAGAGAUCCUUACUUUCUUCAAUAGCUACAACUAUAUUAUCAAACUUAGUUGGCAAACUUCUUAACACUUUCUCAAUACUUUUUGUUCAAAAAUUUCUUCUCCAAGGGAUCUUAAUUGACCAAUUAAAAUAGUAACCUUUAAAGAAAAUUCAUCCACAGAUUCACCAUCCUUCAUUCUUAGGUUUUCAAACUCACGUCGAAAAGUUUGGAGUUUUACAGCAGUUACCUUUUCAGUUCCUUGAUACUCCUUCUUCAAUAUAUUCCAGACUUCUUUUGUUGAACUCGCUCCAGCAAUUCUUGAAAAGAUGGAGUCAGUAACUGCUUGUUGUAGUGCUACAAAUGCCUUAGCAUCCUUCUUUCUGUUGUUCUUGAGCUCAUUCCUUUGAGCAGGAGUCAAUCUUCCCUCUUCUUCUGUUGGCUCUGCAUAACCAUUUUCAACCAUAUCCCACAAAUCUAAUGAAAUGAAAAACCGACGCAUCUUAAUAUUCCAGAAUUCAUAUGCUUGCCCAUUAAAAAUAGGAAUCAAUGGAUUCAUACCAUUAGUAUUUGCCAUGUCUUACUUUAAAAGACUUUUCAACAAACAAAUGGUGUGCAGACUUUACCAGAGAAAUUUCUGUAGAAUCACCUUGCCUUAGGAAGCCCUCUGCGUUGAGUCUUCUCCUUUUAAUGAUCUCCAACCUGGCUCUGAUACCACUAUUGGAGUUGAAGCAAUGGUGGGCUUGAUCAAGUUUGCUGCUGAAAUCAAGUACUUAUGCACAUAUACAUCAAAAUUCUGUGAAAAAACUAAAGGGAAGAGGAAAUAGAUUUGCUGGAGCAUAAAGAUGAAUUGAGAAUACACUAAAAAUAAACUCCUCCAUUGAUUAGCAUCUACUGCCUUUAAAUAGGCUUUACAGAGCUAUAAAUAAAGAAGAACAUGGCAUACAGGAUGAAAACAGAACUAAGAACAUGGGUAGAUCAUGGACUGAUUGUGCCCAGUUUUUUUGCAAAGACUAAGUAAACACAAACUCAUAAUUUGCCACCUGGAUAAUAGAAAUAAACAUGGGGUUAGUUUUUCUCAAA